UGACGCUGAGGCACGAAAGCGUGGGUAGCAAACAGGAUUAGAUACCCUGGUAGUCCACGCCGUAAACGAUGGAUACUAGGUGUAGGGGGUAUCAACUCCCUCUGUGUCGCAGUUAACACAAUAAGUAUCCCGCCUGGGGAGUACGGUCGCAAGAUUAAAACUCAAAGGAAUUGACGGGGGCCCGCACAAGCAGCGGAGCAUGUGGUUUAAUUCGAAGCAACGCGAAGAACCUUACCUGGACUUGACAUCCCUUGCAUAGCCUAGAGAUAGGUGAAGCCCUUCGGGGCAAGGAGACAGGUGGUGCAUGGUUGUCGUCAGCUCGUGUCGUGAGAUGUUAGGUUAAGUCCUGCAACGAGCGCAACCCUUGUUAUUAGUUGCUACCAUUAAGUUGAGCACUCUAAUGAGACUGCCUGGGUAACCAGGAGGAAGGUGGGGAUGACGUCAAAUCAUCAUGCCCCUUACGUCCAGGGCUACACACGUGCUACAAUGGUAGGUACAAUAAGAGGCAAGACCGUGAGGUGGAGCAAAACUUAUAAAGCCUAUCUCAGUUCGGAUUGUAGGCUGCAACUCGCCUACAUGAAGCUGGAGUUGCCAGUAAUCGCGAAUCAGAAUGUCGCGGUGAAUACGUUCUCGGGCCUUGUACACACCGCCCGUCACACCAUGAGAGCUGGUAACACCCGAAGUCCGUGAGGCAACCGUAAGGAGCCAGCGGCCGAAGGUGGGAUUAGUGAUUGGGGUGAAGUCGUAACAAGGUAGCCGUAGGAGAACCUGCGGCUGGAUCACCUCCUU
rnacentral:rRNA from 1 species